CACUAUAUUACUUGUCACGUUCAGCAAUCCAUUGCAUUAAUUAGUCACAAAAUGUUAACAUCAUUUUCCGACUAUAUAAACCCCCGCGAACAUGCCAACAGUAUUCAGUUCACAAUCACUCAAAUAGAAAAUGAAACUCUUAUCUUUCGGACUUGUGGCUUUGGCCUUCGUUUUGGGUUAUGCCAAUGCCGAACCUUGCAAUUUGGGGGGAGGUGGCGGAAGUGGUAAUGGCAAAUAGAGAGUCGUGAGUUCCUGGACGAUGACAUUCAAACCCAUGGUGUAAACAAUGCAUAUUACUUCUAUUCUUCUACAAAAUUCGAAAAUAAAUAUAUUCUUCCCUGAAGUUAUGAAAAGAUAA